rnacentral:rRNA from 1 species
AGUGAACGCUGGCGGUAGGCCUAACACAUGCAAGUCGAACGGCAGCACAGUAAGAGCUUGCUCUUACGGGUGGCGAGUGGCGGACGGGUGAGGAAUACAUCGGAAUCUACUUUUUCGUGGGGGAUAACGUAGGGAAACUUACGCUAAUACCGCAUACGACCUACGGGUGAAAGCAGGGGAUCUUCGGACCUUGCGCGAUUGAAUGAGCCGAUGUCGGAUUAGCUAGUUGGCGGGGUAAAGGCCCACCAAGGCGACGAUCCGUAGCUGGUCUGAGAGGAUGAUCAGCCACACUGGAACUGAGACACGGUCCAGACUACUACGGGAGGCAGCAGUGGGGAAUAUUGGACAAUAGGCGCAAGCCUGAUCCAGCCAUACCGCGUGGGUGAAGAAGGCCUUCGGGUUGUAAAGCCCUUUUGUUGGGAAAGAAAAGCAGCAGGUUAAUACCCCGCUGUUCUGACGGUACCCAAAGAAUAAGCACCGGCUAACUUCGUG